UCCAUUUUUCCCCCAGUCAAUUUUUUUCUUUGAUCUAAAGAACUUGCUUCUUUUCUUUGAAGUUGUUCACAAUAGGACAUGAUAGAGGGAGCACAGGUUAUACCAUAAACUCCUUGAAAUAGAGGAAAAGUGAUUUAAUUAACUUUAUAUUCCCAACAUCUGACAAACAUCAGCUACCAUCAAUAAGCAUUUGUGGAAUUAAAGCCACGUAUAUGAUGAAAAGUUAAAAUUAAAAACAAAA